rnacentral:lncRNA from 1 species
UUUUUGCCACACCUGCAGCAUAUGGAAGUUCCCAGGCCAGGGAUUGAAUCCAAGCUGCAGCUUUGAGCUAUGCCGUAGCUACGGUCACACUGGAUCCUUAAACUGCUUCGCCAUAGCGGGAGCUCCUCAGCUAACAUUUGGGUCGUUGUAAUGAGCUCCACUUCACAUCAAAUCAUGAUUCACAGCAUAGGGGAGUUUGUUGUAACAUGAAUACUUAAAAUUAUGAAAUACCGAAGUUAGAGGCAUUUAGCCCUGAAGAAAAGGGAACUGAGAGCUCAGACUCCUCUAGAUGUGGCCUGAAGAGGCAGAAACAGGGCUCUGUCGCCUUUUCCCUGACCUGGCUCUAGAGAGUUAGGAUGUGACAUAGGGUCCCACUGUUAGGAAUACUGCCAUGUGAAUAACACAGUCCUCACGCAGCUGUGUGACCUACACCUCUUCUUUGGGACCUGCAUGGUCAUCAGACUUCCCUGCUGUGACCUCUGUCUGCUCCUUUUUUUCUAUUGAGGCAUCAUAUAGAGAGUGUCCCAGAGGCCAGGGGAGGAGUGUCUGCAGGAUGGGACAGAAGCUUUCAGUGUCCCAGUGUUCUCACUGGGUGACCUUCAGAUUGUUGGCUUGCUUGUUUGGGAGGGUUGUUUUUGUGUUUUUGAAGAGGAAAAAAAGCAAAAUGUAUUGUCGUUGGUAGAAGGGCAUGAAGCAGAGGGUUCUUCACCCACCCCAACAUUUCGUAUAGGUGGGAGGGAGGUUGUGGGAAACAGAAAAGGCAGUAGAGGGAGUUCCCUGGUGGCUCAGAGAGGUAGGGAUCUGGUGUUGUCCCUGCUGUGACUCGGGUUGCUGCGGUGGUGCAGGUUCAAUCCCUGGCCCAAGAACUUCCACAUGGCAUGGGCGUGACCAAAAAAGGCAGUCGAUGGGGGUGCACACCCCACUCUGUACAAUAUAGAAGAAUCUGAAAUAGAUGCUAUAGAAGCCACUUGUCCCGCAUUGUUAAGUGUGUUUGAAAGUUUACAUUUCUCACUGCUCCCGAGGUUGAGGUGCUUUUACAUGUUUAUGGGCCACUUGUAUUUCUUCAUUCAUAACUUGUUUGUUCAUAUAUACUGUCCAGUUGCCCACUGCGAAUUUUAUAUCCUCUCAUUAUUCAUAGAAGCAAUUUAUUACAUAUUAAGAAUAAUAACCAAGCAAGUCACCUAAUGUCUCUAGAGCUUGACUUCCUUAUCAAUUAAAGGAGGAAAGUGGAGCUGGUUCAUCUCUUAAUCUCCCUCCACUUUUAACAUGAGGUUGUUCUUCCGAUUUGGACAUUUUAUCAAUCACAUGGUCGUAACAAUAGGGCAUGGGGACCUUGCUGGUUGCGUAUGAAGGAAAAGGCACCCUGGAGAAAGGGUUUUUUGUGUUUUGAGGCUAUCCUACUGUACAGGUUUUUCAGAGUCAAGCAAAACAUCUAAGUUGGAGCAAUUUGAUAUUUUAUUGUAAAGCCCAUGUCAUUUUCAGAGGUGGCCUUCCAGGUGUCCCUAAGGCUUUUCACCCCUCCUGAUGACCACUUCAGAGGCAGAGCCACAUUUGUGCUCUUUUCCUAUGACCUGUGUAGGGUGCCGCCUCAGGAGGUCCGAGGUGGUUCACAGCCAGACAAUAACACCACUCAAAGAUAACCAGGAUCGAACCUUCGUCCUCAUGGAUGCUAGUCAGAUUUGUUUCUGCUGAACCAUGAUGGGAAUUCCAAGACAGAGUUUUAGAAUUAGAAGGAAUCUUAGAGACCAUCUGACCCAACACCCUGAAAUCACAGUGGAGAUACUAAGCCUGUGAACUGAAAGGAAUGUGAUUCUGGCCAUGCAACAGUGCACCACUGUUUGGAUGCUUGGAUGCUUCUGCUAGAUAAUUCUUCACACUCCUUAAGCUUCCAUUGACUUGUUGCAAUUGAGUGAUAUAAUAGCUAAGAAAACUGUUUGGAAUUGUUAGGAGACCUAUAAUGAAACAGUGCUCUUGGCUGCACCAAGGUGAAUCCUAAAAUCUCAGUGACUUCAUACAACAGAGUUUUACAUCUGACUCAUGUUAAGUCCAGGGCUUCGUGUUCUUGGUUGAUGGGUAAUGUUCCUGCGGUCAUCGAGGACUGAGGCUCCUUCCCUCUUCCAACUCCAUUCACCUCUAGAACUUUAGAAUUCCCUCCAUCCUACAGAAGGGAGAAGAGAAAAGAAUAGCUCUGUGAAGUUUUAUAGGCCAGGCCUGGAGAUGGUGGCCAGUGUUUUUAUUCAUUCCAUUGCCUGGAAUUCAGGCACACAGCCAUAGCUCAUCUCAGAGAGACUGGGAGUGUGGUCCAGCUGCGUACCCAGGAAGCAGGCAGGGCACAGAUAUUGAUAUGAGUCUGUGUCACAAAGGACAAUGCAAAUGCAAGAUAGGAGUUCUCGCUGUGUCGCAGUGGGUUAGGCAGCAGCCCAGGUUGCUGCGGAGGCGAAGUUUGGAUGCCUGGCCCCAGUGCAGUGGGUUAAAGGAUCAAGCAUUGCUGCAGUAGCAGCUGUGGCUCAAAUUCAAUUCCUGGCCCAAGAACUUCCAUAUGCUGCAGGUGUGGCCAUUUUUUAAAAUUCACAAUAAUGUCAAGUAAGUAAGGCUAGCAAGGACUUGGUCUUUAUGUUGAAGUCAUCAUUUUUCUGGGUGGCUCAGCAGUUGUUGUCACUGCUGUGGCUCAGGUCACUGCUGUGGCAUGGAGUUGAUCCCUGGUCCCAGGAACUUCUGCAGGCCAUGGCCAAGGCCAAAAAAUAAAAUAUAUGUUACGGUCCUCUGCACCUCCUCUGGGUAAUGUCAGCAUCUCUAGAUGGGGCUGAAAUGAUCUGUUUUCCCCACCUGUUCUAGUUGCUUCUGGAGUGGCAUGGUAUCAUGAAAAGAACUUUGGAGUCAUAUGUUCUUGGGUCCAAAUCUCCAGUUUGCCUCUUAUUAAGAUCAUAAAUUUCAGCAAGUCAAUUAAGGUCUAGUAGCCUCAAUUCCCUUAUUGUCAAGUUAGGGACAGAAAGCAUCCUAAUGUUGCAGUGAGACUCUAAUUAAAUCAGUAAACAUUUAUGGAGGUUCAUCCUAUGUGACAAGUUUGGUACCUAGGGAAACAGCCGAGAGUAAAUAAAUAAGGUACAGAGUUAUAUGCCUGCAGUCCUUGUCCCUGGUAGGCAUUUAAUAAACAUGAAGGCUGGAGUUCCCAUUGUGGCUCCGUUAAGAAUCCAACUAGUAUCCAUGAGGAUGCAGAUUCAAUCCCUGGCCUCACUCAGUGGGUUAACGAUCAGACAUUGUUGCAAGCUGUAGGGUAGGUCGCAGAUGCAGCUUGGAUCCAGUGUUGCCAUGGCCGUGGUGUAGACCACAGUGUAGCUCCUAUUCUACUCUUAGAGUGGCAGCUUCCAUAUGCCACAGGUGCAACCCUAAAAAGAAAAAGAAAAAAAA